CCCCGGGUCUUGUACACACCGCCCCGUCACACCAUGGGAGUGGGGUUUUGCCAGAAGUAGUUAGCCUAACCGUAAGGAGGGCGAUUACCACGGCAGGGUUCAUGACUGGGGUG
rnacentral:rRNA from 1 species